UAGAACUAUUUAUGUAUAUGCUGGCACAUGAAAUCAACAGGAAGGCCAAAUAUUGCUUUAAAAUAUUUUUCAGAUUUAUCCAAGAUUUACAUUAAUUUGCUGUUUUAAAAUUGAUUAAAUCGCAGACACGCCUACUGAAAUCAUCCAACCUAGUGAAGAAACAGAAUGGGAUUUGGAUUAUAGGGUUUCAGAUAACACCAAGUCCCUUGUGAAAGAGGGAAGUUGUUAACGUUUAAGAAGAGUCUGCAUUCCUGUGAUGUUGAACUAGAGAGUUCUGAAGACCCCGUGCUUCAGAUGGGUCAGGUCCUGAACCACAGGCACUACUGAGGAAGAAAUCAGAGGAGGAAGAAAGAGUUAGAAAGCAAAGUGAUAGAAAGGGAAACUUGGGAAGGAAAGAGAGGGAUGAUCCUUUGCCUUCUGAAAUCUGUGAAGGGAGU